UUAGACUUUGCUUAUUUAGAAGACCAACAUAACUGACAAAUAAUCCUAUUAAAAUAAUAAUACUUGACAACUCAUCAAUUAUUACAGUGUUACUUUAGCAAAAGCAUACAAAUCUCAGGCUUAAAAUAUUCUUAUUUAAAUGAAGGUAUUGAAGGUAAACACACUUCUUGUACUGCUCAGUGUGAUACCGUAUGUUUGAAUCAAUUACUUUAAUGUGCAGCAAUACAUCUUAUUUUAUAAAAUCAUGAUAACGUUUGCAAGUAAAACCUUGAUCUUCAAAGUAAAUAAUGACUGUAGCUGUCAAAUAACUGCACUGGAUUAGAACAAAAUACAAGUAUGCAACAUGUGCACCGUACUUGAGUAAAUGCAUUUUCCACCACCAGUCUCUGGUUAUAAUCUAAUAUAUCUGGGGUGUAUUCAUAAUAAAUAAAACACUCCCACUGUGUGCAUGUGAAGUUUUCAGGCUUGUUUCUGUUCCUGUCUCUGCUCUCACCCUGUCUCUGGUCAGAUCUGCGGCUGGCAGGUGGCUCACUUGUCUCCCGGCGGUGUCGUUGGACAGGUAGACCCCCAGCACCACCGCCAGCACCAGGACACCGAGCAGACACAGCAGCAGGACCCGUGCCCGAGGCAACCGCACCCGGUCACAGCCGGGGAAGGAGCCGCCGCCGUUGCUCUGCUGCAGAGGCUUGUACCGCCGACUGGACCUGGACAUGUCUGAAGAAGCGGCGUCUGUCUGCGGUCUGUCGGUUUAACGGCUACGUGUCCAAACCGUAGGAGGGAGUAAACACAGGAAGAGAGGCGACGCCGGGGGAAGCAGCUCGGCGGUUACAUCUGCAACAGCCUCCCUCAACACAACAAGCCAUCGUUAGCUUCUGAAACUCGCUGUUUUCUGGCCCCAGUCCCCUGUGCGACUCUGACAGCCCGGCGGUUUGAAAACAUGACUGACUUUUCGUGCCGUUUCUGUUAAGUUAAUCGAGGUUUAGUCCGAAUUUAGACACAAACUGCUUCAUCCCGUCUCCGUAGCUUCUGUCGUUUAGCAACUGGCAACUCUUCACUGCUGCGUUAAACUACACAAGCAGCUACUAUUGAGAAAAAACUACAUUAAAUCGGCCUUGUAGCAAAGUUUUCAUAACUCUCCCGAUGCAGAGGUCCAGCAAAAAACGGUAGAAACGUUUCGUGUUCGCAUCACGGGACAUCUCUGUAGUAAUCUAAUGGCGAUACUUCUUUGAGGCUCUAAUGGUGACUGGAGAACAUCUGUGUGGUGCGUUACUGCCCCCUACCGACCGGGAGAGGAGCUACUGCAAAAACAAACACCCAAAUAUCAAUAUCAUCAAAUAAAAUACAAAAAUGACACAUAAAAAAAACAAUUCUAAAUACUCAGCUUGUACUUUACUCAUUUAAUUAUAUUUUAUUAUGCACCUCCAUUGUUUUAUAUCAUUUUU
ensembl:lncRNA